rnacentral:misc_RNA from 1 species
GAGGAUAACCAGCAACUUAUUUGGUUGAAGAGCCGGGUUGCUAAAGAACAAAGGAAGACCAAGACUCUUGAGGAAUCUCUUGAAAUAGUGUCUGACAAGCUGCGCAAGACUACGGAGGAAAACCGCAUUGUAAGGCAGAGAACCCAGAUGCACCAUGAACAGAGCCAGGAAGAGUUGGAUUUCCAAGAGCAAUUCUUCAAGGACCAACUCAAACUUAUCCAUGAAGCAAGGGAUGCAAAGGAAGAGAAUUUUGAG